ACUCUAAGUCACCUCACCAGCAUAAAUUUAGGUGUAAUCAAAAGGAACUUCUUAUGACUAACAAAACACUCUCCUAACACUCAGGAAACUCCAUGAGUUCAAGGAACUCUGUGCCAGGAACAGAGACAAAGACCAAACAUAAAAUUUACUACACCUCAGCCAGGAUGUUAAGUUCCUCUCCAGGUGGGCCUUUCCACAGGACUAUACAGACGUCCUCUGGGUACAGUGGAACAGCUGGCUUCCUCCAGAAAGAACAACACAAGUAUCAAGGCAGAAGUUUGUAAUUCUUCUCAUGACCCAGCCUCAGAAAGCACAAAUCAUCACCAUCCACUGUAUUCUAUUGCUGACACAGAGUCAACCAGCUAUAAUUCAAUGUGGAAGGGGACUACACUAGCAUGUAAACACCAGGAGCCUUGGAUCAUUGGAGGCCAUUUUGGAGUUAAAGUGGCUGGAGUGGAGUCUUGGAUACAUCGCACUCGAGUCAAACCCUGGAUACUGCCAAAGGAACCCAAAAAUCCAGGCGACAGUGCUAGCUAUUCCUGUGAAUCUCUAGAGGAUCUGCGCCUGCUCUUCAAGCAACAACCUUGAGGAAAGUAACUAGAAUCGUAGAUCCUCGUGGCCCUCCCUUGUUGUAUUUUUCUUUUUACUGUUCUCUUACCCCCUUUCACUCUCACUGCACCUCCUCCAUGCUGCUGUACUACCAGUAGCUCCCCUUACCAAGAGCUCCUAUGGAGAAUGCAGCUUCCCGGAAAUAUUGACGCCCCAUCGUAUAGGGGUUUUUCUAAAGGAAACCCCACUUUCACCACCUACACCCAUAUGCCCCUGCACUUUAGGCCAUACAUUUCAAUCCCUGUAUCUUUAACCUCCUUGUUAAGUUUGUCUCUUCCAGAAUCAAAGCUGUAAAACAACACAUCGUUCUUCAAAUGGAGCCCCAGAUGCAGUCCAUGACUAAGAUCUACCGCGGAUCCCUGGACCAGCCUGCUAGCCCAUGCUCCGAUGUUAAUGACAUCGAAGGCACUCCUCCCGAGGAAAUCUCAAAUGCACAACCCCUACUAUGCCCCAAUUAAGCAGGAAGCAGUUGGAGCAGUCGACGGCCAACCUCCCCAACAGCACUUGGGUUUUCCUGUUGAGAGGGGGUACUGAGAGACAGGACUAGCUGGAUUUCCUAGGCCGACUAACAAUUUCUAAGCUUAGGUGGGGAAGGUGACUGCACCUACCUUUAAACACAGGACUUUUGUAACUCAGCUCACAUCUGGCCAAUCAGGUAGUAAAGAGAGCUCAUUAAAAUACCAAUUAGUCUAAAAACAGGAGGUAAAGAAAUAAAUCAUCUCUCGCCUGACAGCACAGAGGAAGGGGCAAUGAUUGGGAUAUAAACCCCAGGCAUUCGAGCUGGGAGUGGGCAACCCCCUUUGGGUCCCCUCCCAUUGUAUGGGAGCUCUGUUUUCACUCUAUUCAAUCUUGCAACUGC
rnacentral:lncRNA from 10 species